GGUGGAGAACGAACUUGCGGUGUACAUGAGCUAAUCUGCAUUAGAAAAGUAUCUCCUGAAGCAAUUGGAUUCCUGUCUGCUGUUGGGGUGUUCAUUAUUCUCAUGUUGCUACUUUUCCUGUAUAUUAACAAGAAGAUGUGUUUUGAAAAUGUUAGUGGUUUCCCAGAUCUCGAUUCAGGAUACACUACAAGAAAGAAUUCACAAGAUAAACUUUGUUAGAAUAAAAAAAAAAUAUUUCCACCUCAUACAGUUGUCUUAUUUUUGAAAAUAAUGAAUUUUAUUGUGGCUAGUUGAUGCUGCAGUUGAUGAAAGACUAUGGUUUUGCUGGUUGAUUGUGGCUUCAUCUCAAGAUACUUAGCUGCUUUCUUAUUAUUUUCGAUGCAUAUUGAAUGGAAAGAGCAAAGCUGCAACUUCCCCAUGUAAAUGUUUUGAGUUUGAGAUAGCGGAAGCAAAUAGCUCUGAAAUUGAACUUGGAGAAGUGGAGUUGAUCUGUUUGUGAAACAGAGGACCUUUUGUUAUUAAAAGUUGUUGCUGAAUAGGUUGGACAAAUGGCAUUUUUCAGAAACCUGCACCAAAAUCUGAGCCUUCCCUCCGUGUCUUCUCUGGUCCACACACUUAGCAGUGCUGUGGAUGAUCUGACCAGUGUUGUUGGAGAGGUUGGCUACAGUGUAGCUGAUUCAGUAACAGAACAAGUAACAAGCAUGAUAAAUGGGCUUCGUGCAGAAGAUGAAAGCUCCAA